CCUACGGGAGGCAGCAGUGAGGAAUAUUGGUCAAUGGGCGAGAGCCUGAACCAGCCAAGUCGCGUGAGGGAAGACGGUCCUAUGGAUUGUAAACCUCUUUUGCCGGGGAGCAAAAAGCGGUACGUGUACCGCAUCGAGAGUACCCGGAGAAAAAGCAUCGGCUAACUCCGUGCCAGCAGCCGCGGUAAUACGGAGGGCGCGAGCGUUAAUCGGAAUUACUGGGCGUAAAGGGCGCGUAGGCUGUUGUGUAAGUUGGGGGUGAAAUCCCACGGCUCAACCGUGGAACAGCCCUUGAUACUGCGCGACUUGAAUCCGGGAGAGGGUGGCGGAAUUCCAGGUGUAGGAGUGAAAUCCGUAGAUAUCUGGAGGAACAUCAGUGGCGAAGGCGGCCACCUGGACCGGUAUUGACGCUGAGGCGCGAAAGCGUGGGGAGCAAACAGGAUUAGAUACCCCAGUAGUC
rnacentral:rRNA from 1 species